rnacentral:ncRNA from 1 species
AGCGAUACUGACGUGCAAAUCGUUCGUCUGACUUGGGUAUAGGGGCGAAAGACUAAUCGAACCAUCUAGUAGCUGGUUCCCUCCGAAGUUUCCCUCAGGAUAGCUGGAGCCUCUUACGAGUUCUAUCAGGUAAAGCCAAUGAUUAGAGGCAUUGGGGACGCAACGUCCUCGACCUAUUCUCAAACUUUAAAUAGGUAGGAUGGCUCGGCUG